CGGGGAAGAAUGACAUGAAAAUGUGAGGCUGUUAAGAAAAUGAGAGAAGGUUCAUAAUAUAUACAUUUUUUGUCAGUAACUAUUGUAAGAUUUAACGAAUCAGUCGCAUAUAAGAAGGAAAUGAAUCAAAGCAAUCUCAAUGGUGUACACAUCUACCCAUCAAGGCGAGCAAUUGUUGUAAGAACUACAACAUUCCUUUCUUCCUUUCUUUCCAGCCAAACCCCCCACCCACACACCCACAAUGAUAUGCCAAAUAUCCCCCAAUGAAUGGGAUCAAUAUUUUCCCGUUACAGUAUCAUAAUUUUCAUGGUGUUGUGAAACACUAUUGCCUAUUUGGUACCUGCUGAGUUCUUUGCACAAGCUAAACCUCUUUAACAUUGUGGUUCGCUUGCAAUCCCAACUUCAAUGAUUCUGACUUUUUGCCUUCUUUGAUUUGUUUUUCUCCUGCAUCUUCUUUCUCUUUGCUUCAGCUGAAAUCCAUGUAUAA
rnacentral:misc_RNA from 1 species